rnacentral:rRNA from 1 species
AGCGAACGCUGGCGGCAGGCCUAAUACAUGCAAGUCGAGCGCACCUUCGGGUGAGCGGCGGACGGGUGAGUAACGCGUGGGAACGUGCCCUUUGGUACGGGAUAACUGAGGGAAACUUCAGCUAAUACCGUAUGUGCCCUACGGGGGAAAGAUUUAUCGCCAUUGGAGCGGCCCGCGUUGGAUUAGGUAGUUGGUGAGGUAAAGGCUCACCAAGCCUACGAUCCAUAGCUGGUCUGAGAGGAUGAUCAGCCACACUGGGACUGAGACACGGCCCAGACUCCUACGGGAGGCAGCAGUAGGGGAUCUUGCGCAAUGGGCGAAAGCCUGACGCAGCCAUGCCGCGUGAAUGAUGAAGGUCUUAGGAUUGUAAAAUUCUUUCACCGGGGAAGAUAAUGACGGUACCCGGAGAAGAAGCCCCGGCUAACUUCGUGCCAGCCGCCGCCGUAACAC